rnacentral:rRNA from 1 species
UACGUAGGGAGCAAGCGUUGUUCGGAUUUACUGGGCGUAAAGGGCGCGUAGGCGGCAGAUCAAGUCAGCUGUGAAAUCUCCGAGCUUAACUCGGAACUGUCAGCUGAUACUGUUUUGCUAGAGUGCAGAAGGGGCAACUGGAAUUCUCGGUGUAGCGGUGAAAUGCGUAGAUAUCGAGAGGAACACCUGCGGCGAAGGCGGGUUGCUGGGCUGACACUGACGCUGAUGCGCGAAAGCCAGGGGAGCGAACGGG